GGAAGACUGAAGGAAAGAAAGGAGACUCAAAUUUCAAAGAAGAAGAAUUAAUUAAGACCUAUCUUCAAAGAAAUGGGAAUGUACUUAAGAGAAACCAGUCAAACUCUAGUACAAGGAAGUGUCGAGUUGCCUGCGGAU
rnacentral:lncRNA from 1 species